rnacentral:rRNA from 1 species
GAUGAACGCUGGCGGCGUGCCUAAUACAUGCAAGUCGAGCGAACGGACGAGAAGCUUGCUUCUCUGAUGUUAGCGGCGGACGGGUGAGUAACACGUGGAUAACCUACCUAUAAGACUGGGAUAACUUCGGGAAACCGGAGCUAAUACCGGAUAAUAUUUUGAACCGCAUGGUUCAAAAGUGAAAGACGGUCUUGCUGUCACUUAUAGAUGGAUCCGCGCUGCAUUAGCUAGUUGGUAAGGUAACGGCUUACCAAGGCAACGAUGCAUAGCCGACCUGAGAGGGUGAUCGGCCACACUGGAACUGAGACACGGUCCAGACUCCUACGGGAGGCAGCAGUAGGGAAUCUUCCGCAAUGGGCGAAAGCCUGACGGAGCAACGCCGCGUGAGUGAUGAAGGUCUUCAGAUCGUAAAACUCUGUUAUUAGGGAAGAACAUAUGUGUAAGUAACUGUGCACAUCUUGACGGUACCUAAUCAGAAAGCCACGGCUAACUACGUG